GGAGAUGGUAGCUCAGUGGUGGAGUGCAUUUUUUGUGGUUAUGAUGUCCUGGGUUCAAUCCCAAGUUUCUCCC